rnacentral:rRNA from 1 species
AUAUUGGACAAUGGGUGAAACCCUGAUCCAGCGACGCCGCGUGAGUGAAGAAGUANUUNNGUAUGNANAGCUAUAUCAGCAGGNNNNNAAAUGACGGUACCUGACUAAGAAGCACCGGCUAACUACGUGCCAGCAGCCGCGGUAAUACGUAGGGGGCAAGCGUUAUCCGGAUUUACUGGGUGUAAAGGGAGCGUAGACGGCGCUGCAAGUCGGGAGUGAAAGCCCGGGGCUCAACCCCGGGACUGCUUUGGAAACUGUGGCGCUAGAGUGCAGGAGAGGUAAGUGGAAUUCCUAGUGUAGCGGUGAAAUGCGUAGAUAUUAGGAGGAACACCAGUGGCGAAGGCGGCUUACUGGACUGUAACUGACGUUGAGGCUCGAAAGCGUGGGGAGCAAACAGG